AAAAAGCAUUUGAUAGGGUUGAGUGGGAGUAUUUGUUUGCAGUCUUGAGGAAGUUCAGAUUCGGGGAUAAAUUUACGAUAUUUAUUCGUAUUAUUUUGCUCUCGGACGUGGGUGUCGCCAAGGCUGUCCUUUAUCACCUCUGCUUUUUGCUGUCGCUAUCGAGCCUCUGUCUAUCGUAUUAAGAUCUUCUCCCUUGUUUAAAGGAAUAGUUCGAUACGGUGUAGAAUACAAAUUGUCGCUAUAUGCUGAUGAUUUGUUAUUGUAUGUAACCGAUCCUAUUGCCUCUAUGCCUGCUGUCUUGGGUGUUCUGGAGACCUUCGGUGUUUUCUCUGGUUAUAAAUUAAAUUUGGACAAAAGCGACUGUUUUCCCAUCAAUACUGCAGCAUUUCCUCUCCAACAGUCAGAUCUACCUUUUCGAUUUAGUCAGUCAGGGUUUAAAUACCUAGGUGUAGCCCAGGCUUAAUAAUGAGAAACACUAUUUAGCUGUCUAACCAAGUCACAAAAGGGUUAACUUUGAUUUUCUUGUUAUCUUUGAUGGAUUUGUAAGUGAGCAAAUGGGUGAACUCUAUGAGGCAGUGAACUGACCAAUCAGCUGCCAGCUAGGCUCUGUUACAGUUACACCUCUAGGUUAGUGUCUCUGCACGUUCUUUUGGCGCUUGCACCUGAGCGUAGGAGGCUGCGUUAUCCACUUGAGAGUAAAAGAGAGCUGUGCCUGAAUCCACUGUUGUCACGGAGCUAAAGGCAGUGAAUUCUGCUUAAAUGGUCAGGCUUUGGUAAAGAGUUGGAAACAUCGUGCGGAGAUCCUUUCCACGGAAUGAUACAGAUCCCCACGUUCCAGGCGCUCUUCCAGAGAUUCAUAGAUUCCCAGUCCGGGUGGCUGGGUGGCGAGCCAACCGCGUUUGUGACUCUGACUUUAGACGGAUUGCCAGGAUCAUCUUCUUCAUCUUAAUGGUGGUAGGACAAACACUAACACGAACUAAAAAGGGCCAACGUUGGUGACUGAACUCUUGUCAACAAAGGCAAGUGAAACUGAGGACGAACUAAACUCAAGGGAAUUUAAAAGGGGAUUUAUUACAUGCGCACUUUAUUAUUUUAGUUUGUUAUUUUUUUUUCAUAACCGUUUUGUAUAUAUGUAUGUACCAGCCCAUGUGUGUUUAAUACAUUUUAUGCAAAUUGUCA